rnacentral:rRNA from 1 species
AUUGAACGCUGGCGGAAUGCUUUACACAUGCAAGUCGAACGGCAGCACGGACUUCGGUCUGGUGGCGAGUGGCGAACGGGUGAGUAAUGUAUCGGAACGUGCCCAGUCGUGGGGGAUAACGUAGUGAAAAUUACGCUAAUACCGCAUACGAUCUAUGGAUGAAAGCGGGGGAUCGCAAGACACCGCGCGAUUGGAGCGGCCGAUAUCAGAUUAGGUAGUUGGUGGGGUAAAGGCCCACCAAGCCAACGAUCUGUAGCUGUUCUGAGAGGACGACCAGCCACACUGGAACUGAGACACGGUCCAGACUCCUACGGGAGGCAGCAGUGGGGAAUUUUGGACAAUGGGCGAAAGCCUGAUCCAGCCAUUCCGCGUGCAGGAUGAAGGCCCUCGGGUUGUAAACUGCUUUUGUACAGAACGAAAAGGUUUCUACUAAUACUAGGAGCUCAUGACGGUACUGUAAGAAUAAGCACCGGCUAACUACGUGCCAGCAGCAGCCGCCG